AGCAGCCGCGGUAAUUCCAGCUCCAAUAGCGUAUAUUAAAGUUGCUGCAGUUAAAAAGCUCGUAGUUGAAUUUCGGGACUAAUAUGUCGGUCGUGCCUCGGUACGUACUGGUUUAUUGGUUUCUCCUUUCUGAAGAACCAUGAUGUCAUUUAUUUGGUGUCGUGGGGAAUCAGGACUGUUACUUUGAAAAAAUUAGAGUGUUUAAAGCAGGCUCACGCUUGAAUACAUUAGCAUGGAAUAAUGAAAUAGGACGUUUGAUUCUAUUUUGUUGGUUUCUAGGAUCGACGUAAUGAUUAAUAGGGAUAGUUGGGGGCAUUAGUAUUCAAUUGUCAGAGGUGAAAUUCUUGGAUUUAUUGAAGACUAACUACUGCGAAAGCAUUUGCCAAGGAUGUUUUCAUUAAUCAAGAACGAAAGUUAGGGGAUCGAAGACGAUCAGAUACCGUCGUAGUCUUAAACCAUAAACUAUGCCGACUAGGGAUCGGAUGAUGUUAAUUUUUU
rnacentral:misc_RNA from 1 species